GAGAGAGAGAGUCAAAUUGAUUUUAAUACGUAAUAUCGAUAAUUUGACAAUAUCAACAUAAAAUUCACACGGAAGAACAGUUAUCUCUAUUUUGAAAAUCCUUAUUGUCUGUUGAAAAAAGAAGAAAUCUAAUUUAUUCGUUCGUAAGUAAUAUGCAGGUGGUGCGAGGUGAACGAGCUUACAAACGCAUACUCAUAUAAAUACGUAGACAGGAAUCGACAAUUUUCCCUUUUACAAUGUUACGUUUCGUGCGUCCUUGGAGAAGAAGCAUCGCGUGUUUAACAUGUCUGCUGCGCGCGUCGCGCCAUGCUGCUCUUUCGUUUCAUUGGAAGUGGGGUGGAGGGUUAGUCAGGCCGAUGGAAACGCUGGAAAGCCUCGAUUAACCUUGUUUGCGCAAAGCGGAUCCACGCACAAACGACUCCUGUUACGAGGGAUGCGUGAGUUUGUGAGAGAGAGUGAGAGAGGGAAA
rnacentral:lncRNA from 1 species